rnacentral:rRNA from 1 species
GACGAACGCUGGCGGCGUGCUUAACACAUGCAAGUCGAACGAUGAAGCCCUUCGGGGUGGAUUAGUGGCGAACGGGUGAGUAACACGUGGGCAAUCUGCCCUUCACUCUGGGACAAGCCCUGGAAACGGGGUCUAAUACCGGAUACGAGCCUCCAAGGCAUCUUGGAGGUUGGAAAGCUCCGGCGGUGAAGGAUGAGCCCGCGGCCUAUCAGCUUGUUGGUGAGGUAAUGGCUCACCAAGGCGACGACGGGUAGCCGGCCUGAGAGGGCGACCGGCCACACUGGGACUGAGACACGGCCCAGACUCCUACGGGAGGCAGCAGUGGGGAAUAUUGCACAAUGGGCGAAAGCCUGAUGCAGCGACGCCGCGUGAGGGAUGACGGCCUUCGGGUUGUAAACCUCUUUCAGCAGGGAAGAAGCGAAAGUGACGGUACCUGCAGAAGAAGCGCCGGCUAACUACGUGCCAGCAGCCGCGGUAAUACGUAGGGCGCAAGCGUUGUCCGGAAUUAUUGGGCGUAAAGAGCUCGUAGGCGGCUUGUCACGUCGAUUGUGAAAGCCCGAGGCUUAACCUCGGGUCUGCAGUCGAUACGGGCUAGCUAGAGUGUGGUAGGGGAGAUCGGAAUUCCUGGUGUAGCGGUGAAAUGCGCAGAUAUCAGGAGGAACACCGGUGGCGAAGGCGGAUCUCUGGGCC